AACGAACGCUGGCGGCAUGCCUAACACAUGCAAGUCGAACGAAGUCUUCGGACUUAGUGGCGCACGGGUGCGUAACGCGUGGGAAUCUGCCCUUGGGUUCGGAAUAACAGUUAGAAAUGACUGCUAAUACCGGAUGAUGUCUUCGGACCAAAGAUUUAUCGCCCAGGGAUGAGCCCGCGUAGGAUUAGGUAGUUGGUGGGGUAAUGGCCCACCAAGCCGACGAUCCUUAGCUGGUCUGAGAGGAUGAUCAGCCACACUGGGACUGAGACACGGCCCAGACUCCUACGGGAGGCAGCAGUGGGGAAUAUUGGACAAUGGGCGAAAGCCUGAUCCAGCAAUGCCGCGUGAGUGAUGAAGGCCUUAGGGUUGUAAAGCUCUUUUACCAGGAUGAUAAUGACAGUACCUGGAGAAUAAGCUCCGGCUAACUCCGUGCCUAGCAGCCGCGGUAAUAGUCACGUCG
rnacentral:rRNA from 1 species